rnacentral:rRNA from 1 species
UACAGAGGUCUCAACCGUUGUUCGGAUUCAUUGGGCGUAAAGGGUGCGUAGGCGGUCGCGCAAGUCGGAUGUGAAAUCUCAGGGCUCAACCCUGAAACUGCAUUCGAUACUGCGUGGCUCGAGUGCUGGAGAGGAGACUGGAAUUUACGGUGUAGCAGUGAAAUGCGUAGAUAUCGUAAGGAAGACCAGUGGCGAAGGCGAGUCUCUGGACAGCAACUGACGCUGAGGCACGAAGGCCAGGGGAGCAAAUGGG